AGCGAACGCUGGCGGCAGGCCUAACACAUGCAAGUCGAACGAAGCCUUCGGGCUUAGUGGCGGAUGGGUGAGUAACACGUGGGAACGUACCUUUUGGUUCGGAACAACUCAGGGAAACUUGAGCUAAUACCGGAUGAGCCCUUAGGGGGAAAGAUUUAUCGCCGAAAGAGCGGCCCGCGUUAGGUUAGCUAGUUGGUGAGGUAAAGGCUCACCAAGGCAACGAUCUAUAGCUGGUCUGAGAGGAUGAUCAGCCACACUGGGACUGAGACACGGCCCAGACUCCUACGGGAGGCAGCAGUGGGGAAUCUUGCGCAAUGGGCGAAAGCCUGACGCAGCCAUGCCGCCUGAAUGAUGAAGGUCUUAGGAUUGUAAAAUUCUUUUACCAGGGACGAUAAUGACGGUACCUGGAGAAAAAGCCCCGGCUAACUUCGUGCCAGCCGCCGCGGUAACAC
rnacentral:rRNA from 1 species